CUGCAGGCGUGCAACUCGCCUGCACGAAGUACGGAAUUGCUAGUAAUCGUAGGUCAGCAUACUACGGUGAAUACGUUCCCGGGCCUUGUACACACCGCCCGUCAAACCAUGAGAGUUGGCAACACCCGAAGUCGGUAGUCUAACCGCAAGGAGGACGCCGCCGAAGGUGGGGGUUGAUGAUUAGGGUUAAGUCGUAACAAGGUAUC
rnacentral:rRNA from 1 species